ACAGAGCUUUGCUCCAAAACCCGAGUCAUUGAUGUUGGGGUGAAGACCGCCAGGCUAAAGUGGGACUGGGCUGGACAUGUCUGCCGGAUGCAUGAUGACAGAUGGGCCAAAAUAGCCACUAGCUGGCAUCCCCAGUUCGAGGCAGAGGCAGACCGAGAAUGAGAUGGCGGGACGACUUGGAUGCAUUUCAGCGGGAUUGGCGGGAUCUUGCUCAGCACAGGGAGGAUUGGAAAAGGAGA